AGUAGUCACUGUCUGAUAGAAGUUUGUCCCUCGGCAGUUAUGGUAGCCCUCUGACGUCACCCAGCUUGCUGUGAGUGGCUAAACAGCUCAUUUGCGGCUAGGCUGGUUUCUAUAAAACCGUCUUUACUUUUGGACUUAGUGCGAUUCACUGGUUGUUACGGCAGUGGUAUACGGUUCUCCUGUGCAACAAAGGUGUUUAACUGAUUGCCAGACGCCCUCCGGGUAGUCGUGUUGUGUAUUGCCGAGGGUCUUGGGCAAAGCACCCGCCGGGUAGCUGUACCGCAAAUCAGACGUAACGUCAAGAAGGUAAAUGUCGGUUGUUUAUUGUUUAUUGUCCUCCAGUGGGGAGGACUAAUAGCUUUGAAGACGUGUAAAAUAAGUUUUAUUGUGUUGUCCUGACGUAAUGCAUGGCUGUGUUUUAUUGUCAAUACAUAAUAGAAAUGUAUUUAAUGAAUAUGCUGUGUGUAACCAUUAUGUAGGGGUGUGAAGAUUGGCGCAAAGGGCUGUUUUUCCACGGUGUCAUUUCAUAUGUCAACAUUGAGGCAGAUUGCUCCUGCUGCUUUGCCUUGCCUAAAUGAAGUGUUUUUACAGAUCUACAUUUUCUUUUCUUUAUUAUGGUUAAUUUACCGUGGUAUUGGCUGUUCACGUAGUGUAUAAUUUUAUAUUCUUAUUGAUAAAAACUUUCUUGUCCUUUCUCUCUUUCUCUCCCGAGUAUUAGAGUAGCUGCUCACAAGGGAGGUUCCUGGUUCGGUUCUUACGCAUUGCUCCACGCGUUGUAGUGGUAAACUGCACUUCACAAUAUUGAUUGAAUUAUUAGCUUGUAGUGGUUAUGCCUGUCUGUGUGUGUGUGUGUGUGUGCGCGCAUGCAUGCGGUUGUGGGCCCUAGAGUCCAGAGCACGGGUGGUGAACGUCACACGUAUCCCGGACAGGUAACUUGCCUUGAUAGUGGGUUAGUAUUUCUUGGUUAAUUUGUUAAUUGUAUUGUCCCUUGAACAGCCAAUGCCAGGUCAGUUCUCUCUUUAGCCUAAUCAUUGUCGUUUUGUACCUAUUGCGCCUCUUGCGUGAUGGCGCCAAAUUAUGUUUAAAUUAUGUUUAUGUAUAAUAAAGUAUAAUUGUUUUUCUA